CGGCCAUGUUUUAUAAUGAGCUUCUGGCAUACCAGGUGUAAUUUGUUCUGAAAUGUUGUCUGCAACUCACAAUCUCCACUUCCAUCAGAGGUUAGACACUGAGAACUUGGGUCACAUAUGGUCAUUCCACAGUCCAUGAGUUCAAGAAGAGGCAACUGAGCUGUAGCAAAUUGAAUUCCACUUGAAGUUAUGUUUGGACAAAGAGCAAGGAGGAGUCUUGACAGUGUUGCAGGGAACACAUUGCAUAUCAUACCAAUACCACUAUCGCUGAUGCUAGACCCACUUAGAUCAAGCA
rnacentral:misc_RNA from 1 species